rnacentral:lncRNA from 1 species
AUCUGGUUAAUAAAAUAACAGUGCUGAAUCCCAUUGUCUUGUGGAACAAAAGUUUUGGAAAUAUUACCCAUAUUGAAUGGCGGCCAUCUUGAAAAUCUUUUUUUUUAAGACAAAAUAUGUAGUCAUUAUUCGAUAUAAUAAAGAAAUAUGCAUUGUGGAAGAUAUACAAAUGUAUUUGUUUGAGCUAUAUAAACAGGACAAAAUGCGAGCCUAUCCCCCUCCCCGAGUUAUUCUUCUGUUUUGUAGCGGGUACAAAAGCAUUAACACGCGGACACGAAGAGGAUUAUAAAAUGAACUAUUACUCUGAAAGCAAUAUUCGUGCAACCGCUUGUUCAAAAUAAAAUUAUUUUAUUUUAUACGUACAGCUAAAGCAAGAAAAUAUUUGUAUACCUGUCGGUUAUAAUAGUUGGCUGAUUACUGGAUAAUUCGUUUUGUUGAUAUUGUUCA